rnacentral:rRNA from 1 species
AUUGAACGCUGGCGGCAUGCUUUACACAUGCAAGUCGAACGGUAACAGGCCUUCGGGUGCUGACGAGUGGCGCACGGGUGAGUAAUGCAUCGGAACGUACCCAGAGGUGGGGGAUAACGCAGCGAAAGCUGUGCUAAUACCGCAUGUGAUCUGAGGAUGAAAGCGGGGGACCGAGCAGCAAUGUUUGGCCUCGCGCCUUUGGAGCGGCCGAUGUCGGAUUAGCUAGUUGGGGGGGGAAAGGCCUACCAAGGCGACGAUCCGUAGCUGGUCUGAGAGGACGACCAGCCACACUGGGACUGAGACACGGCCCAGACUCCUACGGGAGGCAGCAGUGGGGAAUUUUGGACAAUGGGCGCAAGCCUGAUCCAGCAAUGCCGCGUGCGGGAAGAAGGCCUUCGGGUUGUAAACCGCUUUUGGCAGGAACGAAACGGUGUCCGCUAAUACCGGGCGCUAAUGACGGUACCUGCAGAAUAAGCACCGGCUAACUACGUG